AGUGGCGGACGGGUGAGUAACGCGUGGGUAACCUGCCUCAUACAGGGGGAUAACAGUUGGAAACGGCUGCUAAUACCGCAUAAGCGCACAGUACCGCAUGGUACCGUGUGAAAAACUCCGGUGGUAUGAGAUGGACCCGCGUCUGAUUAGCUAGUUGGUGGGGUAACGGCCUACCAAGCCGACGAUCAGUAGCCGACCUGAGAGGGUGACCGGCCACAUUGGGACUGAGACACGGCCCAA
rnacentral:rRNA from 1 species